GGCUGAACGUCUGUAAGUGCGACCAUUUAGGACCAACUGGAAUUUCAAUCCAGCUGUCCCUUGGAAAUUCGCCAUAACCUCGAUCGCCAUAUCCUGGAACACCGUAAUCACCACCGUAGACUCGACCGGCAUAGACUCGACUGCCGUAACUGCUACUCAUCAGGCCACCUAGAACAAAAUAACGGGAGGAAUCCGCAAAUGCCGCCAUUCGCCGGUUGACGAAGAUUUGGUGAUGAAAUAUUUUUCAAGUGACAGUUUCCAUCACGCCAACUGAACGCGUUGCAUUGGAAAUUAGCGAAACAGAUGCUGCUGCAAUCCUUUUCAAAACUUGUUUGGUUGCUGAUGUCAUUUGCAGGAAAAUCACAGUUUGGGAAGACUUUGACAGUACUUUCAUACAGGGGAUAACCUUCCAUUUGAUUCUGCCGUUGUCACCAGGUCUUCCUUCCUGUAAUUCAUCUUUCCGGCAGAACCGCCAGAAAUCAGCGCUGGUACAACAAACAAAACAUUGAUGAUGGAAACUAACAUCAUCUUCAGAAUUGCAGUUUUUCUAUGUACUUGUGGUAAAAGGCUAAAAGCUGAGGCUGAAAAUUUGAAGUGAUUCACGCAACCUUCUGAUCGACUCACCGAGAAGACUACGACUAACAUCCACUGAGAAACUGCGCAAGUGAUAUUGUCUCUUCUAAAUUAAAAAGACGCCAUUGUCAGGACGACUAAAGUGAGUGCACUCUAAAUUGGCAACGCAGAUUCCUCCGCAUUCUUCUCCACUACUUUCUAUUUGACCAAUAUUAUUCCCUGGAAAGUCGCAAUUGAGAUUCCAUUUGACACCGCCUUCGCCGUUAUUGAAUUGUCCGCCCAAGUUGUUGGUGUUCGUUACUUGCACAGUCCCACCUCCACUAAUGCCGUUUCCCGGUCCGUUUGCAACACCGGAAGCCAGAGAAGUACCGCCUAUCUGACUGAAGCCUCCACUGUUGCUGAUGAUAAAAAUACCAGGGAAAUCCUCGUCAAUUGGAGAAGAAUCGUUGUUUGAUUCGCUCGUCAAAUUAUUUGUCAACGAGGUUGUGGCAUUUUCAACCAGAUCACCGUCUCCGCUCUC